CCAGAUUUUAUCUGAGAUGGCGAGAAUUCUUUAGUAAAGGCAUGGCUUAAGCCAACUCGGGACGGGAGGUUUUUCUACUACUAUUACAGCUCGUACAACCUUGAGGAAUCGAGACUAGUGUAAUAAGUUACUAGCCUAGUGCUACUCCUCCACAGAAGACUUGCUAGAAUAGCUACCACCUUUUCUCUUGACUUUCCUUUGCCAAAUAAAUCCCACGUAUGGAUUCGAGGACAGGAUCCGUUGUGGAUUUGUACAUCCACAAUUUUAUGUAGGAAUGAAGGUGCUCUUGGCUCGACAUCAUUGGUUCUGUUUC
rnacentral:lncRNA from 1 species